rnacentral:lncRNA from 1 species
CAAACCUAAUACCAAACCUAAUAACCAAUUUUUCCAAACCUUUUUCCAAACCUAAUACCAAACCUAAUUCUAACCCUAUAAUACAAAACCUAAUUCUAACCCUACUCACCUUCUUUGACAGAUCAGAUGAGAAGACUGCAAAUUUCAGUGUCAGAGAUCUUCACAUUCCUUUCAUGCAAUCUUCCAUGUGUCCCCUCUUAUUAAAAAUUAAAAAUCUAAAAAUUCUAUUUAUGAUCAAAAGACCUGCAAAUUCCUUUCAUGCAAUCUUCCAUGUGUCUUCUAUGGAAGAUUUCUCCUUGUAUCUUCCAUGCAACAUUCCCAUGUGUCCAACAUAUUGUAUCCAUGUUUCUCUAUAAAUACCACCAAUCAACUCAUCUAUCACCAACAAAUCAAU